rnacentral:rRNA from 1 species
AAAAGCUCGUAGUUGGAUUUCGGGCGUGGAGGUUCGGUCCGCCGUUUCGGUGUGCACUGUCUUUCUGCGUCUUUCUGCCGGGGACGCGCUUCUGGCCUUAAUUGGCUGGGACGUGGAUUCGACGAGGUUACUUUGAAAAAAUUAGAGUGUUCAAAGCAAGCUAAAGCUCUGAAUACAUUAGCAUGGAAUAACGCGAGAGGACUCGGUCCUUAUUUUGUUGGUCUUCAAGGAUGGAGUAAUGAUUAAGAGGGACAGUUGGGGGCAUUCGUAUUUCAUUGCUAGAGGUGAAAUUCUUGGAUUUAUGAAAGACGAACUUCUGCGAAAGCAUUUGCCAAGGAUGUUUUCAUUGAUCAAGAACGAAAGUUGGGGGCUCGAAGAUGAUCAGAUACCAUCCUAGUCUCAACCAUAAACGAUGCCGACUAGGGAUUGGCAGGUGUUACAUCGAUGACUCUGCCAGCACCUUAUGAGAAAUCAAAGUUUUUGGGUUCCGGGGGGAGUAUGGUCGCAAGGCUGAAACUUAAAGGAAUUGACGGAAGGGCACCACCAGGAGUGGAGCCUGCGGCUUAAUUUGACUCAACACGGGGAAACUUACCAGGUCCAGACAUAGUAAGGAUUGACAGAUUGAGAGCUCUUUCUUGAUUCUAUGGGUGGUGGUGCAUGGCCG